GCGGCGAACGGGUGAGUAACACGUGAGUAAUCUGCCCCUGGCUUUGGGAUAGCCACCGGAAACGGUGAUUAAUACCGGAUACGACAACUUCUCGCAUGGGAUGGUUGUGGAAAGUUUUUCNGNCNNGGAUGUGCUCNCGGCCUAUCANCUUGAUGGUGAGGUAAUGGCUCACCNUGGNUUCNACNGGNAGNCNGCCUGANAGGGUGACCNGNCACNCUGGGACUGANACACNGNCCANACUCCUACGGGAGGNANCNNUGGGGAAUAUUGGACAAUGGGNGGAAGCCUGAUCCANCAACGCCNCNNGAGGGAUGACGGCCUUCNGGUUGUNAACCUCUNUCNGUACCNACNAANCGCAAGUGACNNNNGGUACAGAAGAANCACCGGCCAACUACNUGCCNNCNNCCGCGGUAAUACGUAGGGUGCGAGCGUUGUCCGGAAUUAUUGGGCGUAAAGGGCUCGUAGGCGGUUUGUCGCGUCGGGAGUGAAAACGCCGUGCUUAACACGGCGCUUGCUUUNGAUACGGGCAGACUAGAGGUAUUCAGGGGAGAACGGAAUUCCUGGUGUAGCGGUGAAAUGCGCAGAUAUCAGGAGGAACACCGGUGGCGAAGGCGGUUCUCUGGGAAUGACCUGACGCUGAGGAGCGAAAGUGUGGGGAGCGAACAGGAUUAGAUACCCUGGUAGUCCACACCGUAAACGUUGGGCGCUAGGUGUGGGGUCCAUUCCACGGAUUCCGUGCCGCAGCUAACGCAUUAAGCGCCCCGCCUGGGGAGUACGGCCGCAAGGCUAAAACUCAAAGGAAUUGACGGGGGCCCGCACAAGCGGCGGAGCAUGCGGAUUAAUUCGAUGCAACGCGAAGAACCUUACCUGGGUUUGACAUACACCNNNCCGCUCCAGAGAUGGGGNUUCUUUNNNNNGUGUACAGGUGGUGCAUGGCNGUCGUCAGCUCGUGUCGUGAGAUGUUGGGUUAAGUCCCGCAACGAGCGCAACCCUCGUUCUAUGUNGCCAGCACGCCCUUNGGGGUGGUGGGGACUCAUAGGAGACUGCCGGGGUCAACUCGGAGGAAGGUGGGGAUGACGUCAAGUCAUCAUGCCCCUUAUGUCCAGGGCUUCACGCAUGCUACAAUGGCCGGUACAAAGGGNUGCGAUCCCGUAAGGGGGAGNGAAUCCCAAAAANCCGGUCUCAGUUCGGAUUGGGGUNUGCAACUCGACCCCAUGAAGUCGGAGUCGCUAGUAAUCGCAGAUCAGCAACGCUGCGGUGAAUACGUUCCCGGGCCUUGUACACACCGCCCGUCACGUCACGAAAGUCGGCAACACCCGAAGCCG
rnacentral:rRNA from 1 species